rnacentral:rRNA from 1 species
AUUGAACGCUGGCGGCAGGCCUAACACAUGCAAGUCGAGCGGAGCGGCGGACGGGUGAGUAAUGCCUAGGAAUCUGCCUGGUAGUGGGGGAUAACGUCCGGAAACGGGCGCUAAUACUGCAUACUAUCAGAUGAGCCUAGGUCGGAUUAGCUAGUUGGUGGGGUAAAGGCCUACCAGGGCGACGAUCCGUAACUGGUCUGAGAGGAUGAUCAGUCACUGUGGAACUGGAAAACGGGCCAGCUUCGUACGGGAGGCAGCAGUGGGGAAUAUUGGACAAUGGGCGAAAGCCUGAUCCAGCCAUGCCGCGUGUGUGAAGAAGGUCUUCGGAUGGAAAAGAACUUUAAGUUGGGAGAGGUAACCGAAAGAAUAAGCACCGGCUAACUUCGUGCCAGCAGCCGCGGUAAUU